UUUUUGGCUUAGUUAGAUAGAACUUUAGCUUAAGGAAUGAUCUCUUAAGUUAUAAGUACAUAUAAGAUGGUAACGUGCAGGGUUUAGCUACAAAACAAAGUUUUAGAAGCUAUCUAUCGAUACUUGAAGAACAUUUAUCAACAGAUAAAAGAUAGAAUGCUUCAGGUACCUUUAUCUAUUGAUAAAUGCAAGACAAGUUGGUUUGUUAUGCAUGAUUAAAGGCUUUUCAAAGGCCAAAAGGUUUCUAAGGGUUAUAUAAACUCAUUUUAUAUGCAAUUGCUAUUUAAUAUGUGUUUACAUACCAUGUUUCAUGAACUUUAUGGUUAAAUGGUUUUUAAAUGGCAUGAGAUUACAAGUGCUUGUUUACAAAACACCCUUCCCCUUGGCUUGUCCUUUUCCCCGUAUCCACUUAUGAAGUCUUUGUAACUUACAUGUUAUUUUCCCUCACUAUUUUUGUUCUAGAUCAGUAAUAGCACUUUUGGUAGCAACUAGUGUCAUGAAGACAUGAUUUGUUCCUUUUUUGGUAGGUGAUCUAUAAGCCACUUGCAGCUUAAAGGUCGAGUCAUAGUCCAUUGAUGAGUUAGUUUUAUUUAUGUUUAUGUUUAUAGAUAAUGAACAUGUUUAUGAUGAUGUAGUUAACGUUUGGCAUUUUUGUCACGACCCGGUACUCCCCUCGAGCCCGUGACAACCACCGCUACAUCUUGAUAGAUAUUCAUUUCCCGAAAUGCCAAUCGGAACCUUGCAAGGUUUUAAUAUCAGUUUUUGCACCUCCC
rnacentral:lncRNA from 1 species